rnacentral:rRNA from 1 species
GACGAACGCUGGCGGCGUGCCUAAUACAUGCAAGUCGAACGCAGUGGGGACGGGUGAGUAACACGUGGGUAACCUCCCAUCAGAGGGGAUAACCCUUGGAAACAGGUGCUAAACCGAUACUGAUGGAUGGACCCGCGGUGCAUUAGCUAGUUGGUGAGGUAACGGCUCACCAAGGCCACGAUGCAUAGCCGACCUGAUAGGGUGAUCGGCCACACUGGGACUGAGACAUGGCCCAGACUCCUACGGGAGGCAGCAGUAGGGAAUCUGCGGCAAUGGGCGAAAGUCUGACCAAGCAACGCGGCGGGAGUGAAGAAGGUUUUCUGAUCGUAAAGCUCUGUUGUGAGAGAAGCGGUAUCUUACCAGAAAGGGACGGCUAACUACGUGCCAGCAGCCGCGGUAAUAC